CAGCCGCCGCGGUAAUACCGGCGGCCCGAGUGGCGGUCACUAUUAUUGGGCUUAAAGCGUCCGUAGCCGGGUUGGGAAAUCCUCCGGGAAAUCUGGCCGCUUAACGGUCAGAAUGCCGGAGGAUACUCCCAGCCUAGGGAGCGGGAGAGGCCGAGGGGAUUCCCGGGGUAGGGGGGAAAUCCUAUAAUCCCGGGAGGACCACCUGUGGCGAAGGCGCUCGGCUGGAACGCGUCCGACGGUGAGGGACGAAGGCCAGGGGAGCAAACCGGAUUAGAUACCCGGGUAGUCCUGGCUGUAAACGAUGCGGACUUUGUGUCGGACAAGCUAUGAGCUUGUCCGGUGCCGGAGGGAAACCGUUAAGUCCGCCGCCUGGGGAGUACGGCCGCAAGGCUGAAACUUAAAGGAAUUGGCGGG
rnacentral:rRNA from 1 species